rnacentral:rRNA from 1 species
AUUGAACGCUGGCGGCAGGCCUAACACAUGCAAGUCGAACGAGUGGCGGACGGGUGAGUAAUGUCUGGGAAACUGCCUGAUGGAGGGGGAUAACUACUGGAAACGGUAGCUAAUACCGCAUACCAUCCACUGUGCCCAGAUGGGAUUAGCGAGUAGGUGGGGUAAUGGCUCACCUAGGCGACGAUCCCUAGCUGGUCUGAGAGGAUGACCAGCAACACUGGAACUGAUACACGGUCCAGACGCCUACGGGAGGCAGCAGUGGGGAAUAUGGCACAAUGGGCGCAAGCCUGAUGCAGCCAUGCCGCGUGUGUGAUGAAGGCCUUCGGGUGGUAAAGCACUGUCAGCGGGGAGGCGUUACCCGCAGAAGAAGCACCGGCGAACUCCGUGCCAGCAGCCGCGGUAAUUC